rnacentral:rRNA from 1 species
CCUACGGGAGGCAGCAGUGAGGAAUAUUGGUCAAUGGACGAGAGUCUGAACCAGCCAAGUAGCGUGAAGGAUGACUGCCCUAUGGGUUGUAAACUUCUUUUAUAUGGGAAUAAAAUGUUCCACGUGUGGGAUUUUGUAUGUACCAUAUGAAUAAGGAUCGGCUAACUCCGUGCCAGCAGCCGCGGUAAUACGGAGGAUCCGAGCGUUAUCCGGAUUUAUUGGGUUUAAAGGGAGCGUAGGUGGAUUGUUAAGUCAGUUGUGAAAGUUUGCGGCUCAACCGUAAAAUUGCAGUUGAAACUGGCAGUCUUGAGUACAGUAGAGGUGGGCGGAAUUCGUGGUGUAGCGGUGAAAGGCUUAGAUAUCACGAAGAACUCCGAUUGCGAAGGCAGCUCACUGGACUGCAACUGACACUGAGGCUCGAAAGUGUGGGUAUCAAACAGGAUUAGAUACCCGGGUAGUC